rnacentral:rRNA from 1 species
UAGUCCACGCCGUAAACGAUGUCUACUUGGAGGUUGUGGCCUUGAGCCGUGGCUUUCGGAGCUAACGCGUUAAGUAGACCGCCUGGGGAGGUACGGUCGCAAGAUUAAAACUACAAAUAGAAUUGACGGGGCCCGGCACAAGCGGUGGAGCAUGUGGUUUAAUUCGAUGCAACGCGAAGAACCUUACCUACUCUUGACAUCCAGAGAAGCCAGCGGAGACGCAGGUGUGCCUUCGGGAGCUCUGAGACAGGUGCUGCAUGGCUGUCGUCAGCUCGUGUUGUGAAAUGUUGGGUUAAGUCCCGCAACGAGCGCAACCCUUAUCCUUGUUUGCCAGCGAGUAAUGUCGGGAACUCCAGGGAGACUGCCGGUGAUAAACCGGGAGGAAGGGUGGGGACGACGGUCAAGGUCAUCAUGGGCCCUUACGAGUAGGGGCUACACACGUGCUACAAUGGCGCAUACAGAGGGCAGCGAACUUG